AGAACGAACGCUGGCGGCAUGCCUAAUACAUGCAAGUCGAACGAACACUUCGGUGUUAGUGGCGCACGGGUGCGUAACGCGUGGGAAUCUGCCCUUGGGUUCGGAAUAACAGUUGGAAACGACUGCUAAUACCGGAUGAUAUCGAAAGAUCAAAGAUUUAUCGCCCAGGGAUGAGCCCGCGUAGGAUUAGCUAGUUGGUGAGGUAAAGGCUCACCAAGGCGACGAUCCUUAGCUGGUCUGAGAGGAUGAUCAGCCACACUGGGACUGAGACACGGCCCAGACUCCGUACGGGAGCAGGCAGGUAGGGAA
rnacentral:rRNA from 1 species